rnacentral:lncRNA from 1 species
CUCCAAGAUUCAUCUGAAGGUGUGAUCACAGCAUUAAUGUUGAGUGGACCACGAGCCCGUGCCAGAAGCAGCGUCCCAAGCUGGACCGAGGCAUCCCAGUACCCACUCCAAAGCAAAGGAGAAGGAAAAGAGAGAAACUAUUGUUAUCAUGGGUCUUGGUUGGCUUUCCUUUUGACUCCCACUGAAGUUGCUACUUAUUGCAGCCUUGCAAUUCCUGGACUUGAAAAGACCCAGUGGGGCUCCAGAGGAGUGCAGGGUGAGGAUUCUCGUGGAGACAGAUCUCAACCUCCUGCCGUCCCUUCUCAGAUUCAGCAUAUUGUUGCUUUUGUCCUGGCACUGAGUCGUGUCCGACUCUUUGUGACCCCGUGGACUGCAGCAUACAGGCCUCCCUGUCCUUCACUGUUGCCUGGAGUCCACUCAGAUUCACGUCCACUGAGCUGGUGACACCAUCCAGCAUCUCAUCCUCUGUCACCCACUUUUCCUGCUCUUAGUCUUUCCCACCAUCAGGGGCGUUUCCAGUGAUUCGACUCUUCACGUCAGGCGGCCAAAGUACAGGAGCUUCAGCUUCAGCACCAAUCCUUCCAAUGAAUAUUCAGGGUUGAUUUCCUUUGGGAUUGACUGGUUUGAUCUGCUUGCAGUCCAAGGGACUCUCCAAAGUCUUCUCAGCACCACAACUGGAAAGCAUCAAAAUUCUUCAGCAUUCAGCCUUCU